CUUUGAGCAAUCACUAUGUCUGACUUCAGAGGCUCAGAGUUCCCCAACUACCUGAAAUGGCUCAUUGUAGAAGAAUCUCUGCUCGAACUGAGAACUGCACGGAUUGCUUCUGAGGUUCAUGUUCCUGCAUGGACAGUGGUUAUAACCACGUGAGAUAACCCAGGCAUUUAUCACCUUGGAAGAGAGGAGAAAACUACCUUGAAUGAAACUUCAUCUAGGCUAGAAGAUGACAUGAUGAUCAAGUAGAAGGACCAUGUUACAGUUUUUAAAAUACAUUCUAAGCGUUUCUGUGGAUCACAGCUGUUUAUGACACUAUCUCCUCUUUGCUAUGUCAGAACAUAGCAGAACAAAUACAUCUUUAGCAGGUUACAGAUAGAUAGAUCAUCAAAUACCCUUCUAAUGAAGUUAGUGUUCAUUCUGAAGAUGAAAAUGAGCCAUCAGAAAUUUUUGAAAGAAGAAGAACAACAGAUAUGACAGAUUGCAGAAGGAGCACAAAACUUUGCAGCCUCGUUUAGUGGAUAUAACGUGUCUUCUUUCGUGCUUAAAAUCAGGAGUUGGCCAGGUAACAUUUUUGUCACUGCAACAACUGUAAAACUGACACAGCAGUGAUAUGAGAUGCAUUUACACAUUUGAGUUCUGUCACUUUUGUUGCUCUGGAAAUAACACUCCAUGUUGAGGAACUUUUAAACCAAUAUUUUCCCAUAAGAGGCAAAUCAUGGCUCAGCUCAUGUUAACAAGACACAGCAGUAGGAGUUAAAUAAACAAUUAUUAUUAUUAUCAUUUUGAUAGGCAAAGUGGACAGUGAGAGAGAGAGACAGAGAGAAAGGUCUUCUUUUGCUUUUGGUUCACCCUCCAAUGGCCACCGUGGCCAGCGCGCUGCGGCCAGCGCACCGCGCUGAUCCGAUGGCAGGAGCCAGGUGCUUCUCCUGGUCUCCCAUGGGGUGCAGGGCCCAAGCACUUGAGCCAUCCUCCACUGCACUCCCGGGCCACAGCAGAGAGCUGGCCUGGAAGAGGGGCAAUUGGGACAGAAUCCGGCGCCCUGACCGGGACUAGAACCUGGGGUGCCGGUGCUGCAAGGCGGAGGAUUAGCCUAUUGAGCCCCGGCACAGGCCAAUAAACAAUUAUUUUUGAAGUUCUUGUUAUGAAGCAAAGACUAAUACACUAUUAUUAUUUUUCUCACAAAGAAAGAAAAAAUAUCCCAAAUUAAUGAAAUGGAAUUUCUCGUCUUUUUCUUACACUCCUCAUGCAUAUGUUUCAAGUUAAAAGAUGGCUUCUAGCCUUCAUCAAACCCUGCUGUCAUUCAUUAAAAAUUUUAUAGAAGAAUUUAUAGAGAUCUAUAAUUGUCUAGAAUAUUACCUUCAGUUCAAAUUAUUUUAGGGAGUUGGAAGUUUCCACAUCUAUGUUUGUGGAUGUGUCUUCUGUUAAAUGAUUGCCCCUCAAGGAAAAAUAACCAAGUAUGUUUAUAAUUUCUCCACUUAAGUUUCAGUUAUCAUAAAUAGCCAUUGUGUAACUAAUACUCUUUUAUUUUAAACUAACUUUAUGAUGAAAAUUUCCCAAAAUAUCUAGUGUGCUUUUUUUUUCUAAAUUUGAAGGAUAUCAUCGAGGCCAUCGUGGGAAGCCAAAUAAAUAACAUCAUACUCUUCACCAAGUUCUGAAAAUUUUGAGAUAUUAUACAAAAGAAUGAGGCAGAUGGCAAAUAAAAAUAUCAUGUGUGAAAACAGCUGCUCAUAGACAAAAUGGUAUAACAGACAGUAUCUGCUCUCUUGCCUCAGUAAAAAAUUUGGAUGAAAUAUGAAAUAAUUUUGUUUAGUCAUUGAAUAGUAGGCAGUUAACAUGUGAUUCCUGGGAAUGAAAAAUACAAGACAAAUCCUACAAAUUUAGCAGCAUGAAACAAUUUUCAUUGUUGCAGCACAGACAGGACAAGCUCAAAUGUAAUUUUGGGGUUUCAUUAAGUUGAGGAGGAAGUUCAAAAUGAGAAGACUAAAAUUUUUAGUAAGAAUACAAAUAAAUUAGAAAGAGAGGAAGAGAAGAAUGA